GCGCUGUACGUACAGUUUCCCUUCUCUAAGUGUAUGGGUGUUCUCUGGUGCAAACGCAAAGUGCUGGGACGACGCGACCAUAGUAAACGCCCUACGAUGAAUCGGAUACACGCGAGAGAUGUGCUUCGUGAGACGCUGUGCGCACACAAGUUCUCGCUACCGAAAGCCGACUCGUUCAGGACGCAUUGAAGCGGACACAGCCUGCAGUGAAAAACAACACGACAGCAGGAUGACGGAUUUCUUGCGAGUCAGCAACGAUAUAUGCAGACGUGGCAAAGCAAAGGAAAAGUGGGCUCUGGGACGAUGUGAUGCAGGAAAGCCCUCUACGAUGGAUCGCAUGCACGCGAAACUGUAGAUGCUUCAAGCAACGUUAGUGCGCGCGCCUUUAUCGACCAUGCCCUCCUCUGCCGAAAGUUGCGUUGAUCUGUUUGCAACGACGGGGAUACGCCCAAAGUGGCCACAUCGUUUCAUUCUUCACCACGCCUGGGCCCACCGAUGUGAAAAGUUAGCUUUAAGUCCCAUCAAUUUUAUUUUAUUUAUUUAGUUUUAUUUAAAAAUACCUUACAGGCCUCCAUUGAGGCAUUGUGUAAGGGGGGCAGUAUGAAAAAGUGGACUUCCAUAGUAGUUACAUAACAAAAAGUUCAUGAACAGUGGUCAUGUAGAUCACAUAAUAAGAAGAGCAAAACAAAAUAAUUAAUUAGUUCAUCAGCAAUGGUAACAAAAGAAAAUCAACAACACUAGCAAAGAUAAAACAUAUAAUAAGGAAAUAUUCAUCGAGUCAAGCACAAUUGAAAUCUUACAGUACUAGGGUUCGAAUAGAAAAAAAAGA
rnacentral:lncRNA from 1 species